CAGUAUUCAGCAAUUCCGCAAACAAGAAGAUAAGAGGAAGGUCUGAUUGCGUUGUUUUGAGUGAUGUGAUUUUCACUUACGUUACAAUCGCAACACAUCAUGCACAUGAUUCUUGAAGUUACCUAAAACACGAAGGUUCAUAAAAAAUCUUGAUCAUGUGACCGUGACUCCUAGCGCGGAUGACAUUGAGUUGAUUCAACAGAUGUCGUUGCGCAAUCUGAAGAACUAAUUUAUACUUGAAAUUGGCAACUGCAAUAAUUAUUAUUGACUGCUCAGCCAGAAACCAAAAACUGAAAUGAACUUUCAACGAUAUACUGUACUUAGAAUCUAGCGUUUCUGACUCGGAACAAAGUCCAUUGGCAAGAUGUUCAUGGAGCUGUUGCUUAAUGGUUAAGAUGCUUGUCUUGCAAUACCAUGAUCCUGGGUUCGAAUCCUGAGACACCAGGAUAUUUUCUCGUGGCUAAAAACAACUUCACUCCCUAAAGCCUGGUUUCAAUAACAUUGCUGCACUGUUGCUAUAGCAAUCGCUACACUACUUAAUAUAGACGUUUCCCCUAUUCGACCUAACCAAUUAGCUGCUCCAAAAGCUGCUGGUGAUGGCUCGUAGCGAUUUUGUGGAAACCAGGCCUACACCUCAAAAAAAGGACUUAAUUGCUUUAUAGAACAUUUAAGUUGCGGGGCACUUGCUAGGUAAGAAUGCAAGAAGUUUAUAAAAUAAUAAUCCUGAUCAAUGUAUAAUUGUACCCUAAGUUAAUUUUUGGAUUGUAUAGUUUUAUAUCUUGAUAAAUAUGUAUCUCAAUAAAAAUAAAAUGUAAAAGUAAAUGUAACAUUUUACUGUCAUAACAAUCUCCUUAAUUCAGUUACGAUUUUAGAUGUAUUUUUUCCUUCAUUCAUUUAAACACAGCCUUGAUAAAUUUUGGUAAUUUGAGUCCUGUAAGCCAUUUAGUCUUUAGUGAUAAUUGCGUGUACCGUGUAUAUUUCAAUAAAUCCAAUGAUUAUGUGCAAUCAAAACAAUAACCAUAUACCUGUAGGAUUUACCAGUACAGCACAAAGAAAGUUAACAGUUCUAAGAAUAAAAAUAACAAUAAAGACAAUAUGACCUACUUAAUGUUAUCCUGGAUAUGGUUAUAAGAGACAUGGGUACAAAUUUGCUAAGCUCAAGUAUUUUAAUACUUAAUAGAUUGUUCAAAGAAUAACAAAACUUUAAUAAAUAGAUUGUUCAAAGAAUAAGUUCCAAUUAACUUUUAUUUGGAGUGCAAGUCC